UAAGGGCGCACGGUGGAUGCCUUGGCACUAGAAGCCGAUGAAGGACGUUACUAACGACGAUAUGCUUUGGGGAGCUGUAAGUAAGCUUUGAUCCAGAGAUUUCCGAAUGGGGAAACCCAGCAUGAGUUAUGUCAUGUUAUCGAUAUGUGAAUACAUAGCAUAUCAGAAGGCACACCCGGAGAACUGAAACAUCUUAGUACCCGGAGGAAGAGAAAGAAAAUUCGAUUCCCUUAGUAGCGGCGAGCGAAACGGGAAGAGCCCAAACCAACAAGCUUGCUUGUUGGGGUUGUAGGACACUCUAUACGGAGUUACAAAGGACGACAUUAGACGAAUCAUCUGGAAAGAUGAAUCAAAGAAGGUAAUAAUCCUGUAGUCGAAAAUGUUGUCUCUCUUGAGUGGAUCCUGAGUACGACGGAGCACGUGAAAUUCCGUCGGAAUCUGGGAGGACCAUCUCCUAAGGCUAAAUACUCUCUAGUGACCGAUAGUGAACCAGUA
rnacentral:rRNA from 1 species